CGGGUGAGUAACACGUAUCCAACCUGCCGUCUACUCUUGGCCAGCCUUCUGAAAGGAAGAUUAAUCCAGGAUGGCAUCAUGAGUUCACAUGUCCGCAUGAUUAAAGGUAUUUUCCGGUAGACGAUGGGGAUGCGUUCCAUUAGAUAGUAGGCGGGGUAACGGCCCACCUAGUCAACGAUGGAUAGGGGUUCUGAGAGGAAGGUCCCCCACAUUGGAACUGAGACACGGCCCAG
rnacentral:rRNA from 1 species